rnacentral:misc_RNA from 1 species
GAUGAAGAACGUAGCGAAAUGCGAUAAGUAGUGUGAAUUGCAGAAUUCAGUGAAUCAUCGAAUCUUUGAACGCACAUUGCGCCCCUUGGUAUUCCAUGGGGCAUGCCUGUUCGAGCGUCAUUUGUACCUUCAAGCUUUGCUUGGUGUUGGGUGUUUGUCUCGCCUUUGCGUGUAGACUCGCCUUAAAAAAAUUGGCAGCCGGCGUAUUGAUUUCGGAGCGCAGUACAUCUCGCGCUUUGCACUCAUAACGACAGCGUCCAAAAGUACAUUUUACACUCUUGACCUCGGAUCAGGUAGGGAUACCCGCUGAACUUAAGCAUAUCAAUAAGCGGAGGA